UUUAAGUGUAACCACGAGUUUCCGCGUCCAACUUUGAUCGUCCGUCUUAUUUGAAUUUUUUUUAUAAUUAGUAUUUUUUUUGUUAUGAGAUGAUAAAACAUGAAUAGUACUUUACUCGUGACUUAUGUUUUUAAAUUUUUUUUAACUUUUUUCAAAUAAGAUGGACGAUCAAAGUUGGGCGCGGAAAACCAUGGCUGCACUUAAA
rfam:Oryza sativa Japonica Group DNA, chromosome 8, cultivar: Nipponbare, complete sequence.